rnacentral:rRNA from 1 species
GACGAACGCUGGCAGCGUGCUUAACACAUGCAAGUCGAACGGAAAGGCCCUGCUUUUGUGUGGUGCUCGAGUGGCGAACGGGUGAGUAACACGUGAGUAACCUGCCCUUGACUUUGGGAUAACUUCAGGAAACUGGGGCUAAUACCGGAUAGGAGCUCCUGCUGCAUGGUGGGGGUUGGAACGUUUCGGCGGUUGGGGAUGGACUCGCGGCUUAUCAGCUUGUUGGUGGGGUAGUGGCUUACCAAGGCUUUGACGGGUAGCCGGCCUGAGAGGGUGACCGGCGACAUUGGGACUGCGAUACGGCCCAGACUCCUACGGGAGGCAGCAGUGGGGAAUAUUGCACAAUGGGCGGAAGCCUGAUGCAGCAACGCCGCGUGCGUGAUGACGGCCUUCGGGUUGUAAACCGCUUUCGCCUGUGACGAAGCGUGAGUGACGGUAAUGGGUAAAGAAGCACCGGCUAACUACGUG